rnacentral:tRNA from 1 species
ACCUGGCUGGCUCAGUUGGUAGAGCAUGAGACUCUUGAUCUCUGGGUGAUGAGUUCGAGCCCCAUGCUGGGUG